ACCGCCAGCACCUUCCGUUUUGCCUCAAUUUGACGCCUUUUUGUGCCGCAAUUAAACGCAUCAAAUUGAGGCAAAACGCAAGGAGGGCUUUGCAG
rnacentral:miRNA from 1 species